rnacentral:tRNA from 3 species
GCCCUUGUAGCUCAAUGGCUAGAGCAUGCGACUUUUAAUCGCAAGGCUGUGGGUUCGAGCCCCACCAAGGGCU